AUUGAACGCUGGCUGCAUGCCUUACUCAUGCAAGUCGAACGGUAACAGGCCGCAAGGUGCUGACUAGUGUCGAACGGGUGAGUCAUGCAUCGGAACGUGCCUAGUAGUGGGGGAUGGCCCGGCGUAAGCCGCCUUAAUACCGCCUACGACCUCUGGGUGAGACGGGGGGAUCGCCAGACCUCUCUCUAUUGCAGCGGACGAUGUCAGAUUAGCUAGUUGGUGGGGUAAAGGCCUACCAAGGCAACGAUCUUUAGUUGGUCUGAGAGGACGACCAGCCACACUGGGACUGAGACACGGCCCAGACUCCUACGGGAGGGAGCAGUGGGGAAUUUUGGACAAUGGGCGCAAGCCUGAUCCAGCAAUGCCGCGAGCAGGAAGAAGGCCUUCGGGUUGUAAACUGCUUUUGUCAGGGAAGAAAUCUUCUGGGUUAAUACCUCGGGAGGAUGACGGUACCUGAAGAAUAAGCACCGGCUAACUACGUGCCAGCCGCCGCGGUAAGAC
rnacentral:rRNA from 1 species